rnacentral:rRNA from 1 species
UACAGAGGGGGCAAGCGUUGUUCGGAUUUACUGGGCGUAAAGGGUGCGUAGGAUGUUGUGUGUGUCGGAUGUGAAAUCUUGCUGUUCAUCGGCAAAACUGCAUUCGAAACUACAUUGACUAGAGUGCAGGAGAGGAGAGCAGAAUUCUCGGUGUAGCGGUGAAAUGCGUUGAUAUCGAGAGGAAUGCCGGUGGUGAAGGCGGCUCUCUGGACUGUAACUGACUCUGAGGCGCGAAAGCGUGGGGAGCAAACAGG